rnacentral:lncRNA from 1 species
ACUAAUCCAAUAUGGCUGAGAUCCUUAUCAAAAGGAGAAAUUCAGUCACAGGGACAGACAGGUACAGAGAGAAGAUGAUGUCAAGAGACAACGGGAGAAUGCCACAUGAAGGUGGAGGAUUGGAGUAAUGCAUCUACAAGCCAAGGGCAUCUGUUGUUCCCUUCUUUGUGUUCAUGUGCAUUCAAUGUUUAGCUGCCACUUAUAGGUGAGAACAUGUAGUAUUUGGUUUUCUCUUUCGUUUAGCUCAUUUAGGAUAGUGGCCUCCAGCUCUAUCCACGUUCUGACAAAGGAUAUGAUCUGAGAGGUUGGCAUUUCUUCCUUGGUCCUUGAGAUAAAAGGAUUCUCAACCAGAAAACUAAAGGAUAAGCAAGAAAAGAGAUCUUUGGGCAUCUGUGACAAGAUUCUUUACCCAUCUUUGGAAACUUAUAAAGAAAAUAUUAGAACAAAGAAGAAUGAGGAAGGCACAAAACAGUUCCAGAACUUCUAAGCAACCAAAAGUAACUGAAAAGUCAACUGAAAAUAGUAGUAGCUAUUUUUUCUCAUAUUGUAAGAAUCCAGUUAGCUCAGACCAAAGGAAACUCCUUUUAAAUUUAGAGCCCACAGUUGAAACCUGUGAGGUCAACCAACUGAAAGUAAAUACAUGAUUAAAUAAGAAUUUCCACAGUUGGAAUUGUGUGCAAAGAUGAAUUUGACAUAGUACCUUUCAAAAGGGCCUUUAAGACAGAAAAGCAACACAAACUCUCCUUACAGGGUUGAUGACAGUUAGACAGAAACUGUAUGAAACUCAGCACAAUGAGAAAAGUUCAUUAAAGGAAAAUCGAGAAAAUGAUUAGUGUUGACUGUGAGCCUUGAAUAAUGGGCAGAAUUAUAUCCAGUGGAAAUAGUAGAAAGAGAUAGAAGAGGUUUUUUAAAAAAUAAAGGCACACAGCUUGAAACGCCUUGUACGCAGACCAGCCUCUUCCUCAGCACCCCAGGGAGCCUCCUGAUACCCCUAGCCAUGCUUUUGGAUCUAAUAUCCCUAAACCUUGUUGGGAGUUUGAUUAGACGGCUGAGAAAGACAGCAAAUCUACAGGGUUUGUCAAAGAUAAGAUCGUUGUCAUGGCAUGAAAAGGAUGACCUUUCCAGUCUGCAAUACCUGCUUGACCACUAAGACCAAACAGCUCAAAUUAAAGGUAACAAAUUCCGCAGAGGCAAUUGUUCAACACAGGAAAAAGAAACCACUUUAAGGAUUUUAAACUGGAAGAGAUUUUACAUAAGCUGUUUUAAACAAAACCAUUGGAUGACCUGGAGUAACAGUGUCGGAAACUCAGCUGAGCUGGAUAGAGAACUGAGCUGCCCGUUGUUGGAGAAGUUGAUUAAAGCAGCAGCCGAAGAUCGAAGUAACAGUCAAGACUGUAAUCACUUACUGCAAUAGUAUAAGCAAGAGGCCAAAACCAAAGAAACUGCCAACUCACCCAGGUCUUCUAAAUUCCCCAGAAAGGUGCACUAGUGGAGGGUCAGUGAAUCAGGACAGACAUGGGGGUCAGCUCACGAUUGAGGAAGCCCCAAACAAAAAUCUCCAGUAGUAUUAUGAACCCUGGAGCAGGAGGUUGGAGUGAGACAAGGAGAGCUAGGAGUAGAAGAGUAUGGAGUCGGAGGAGGGAACGGUUUCUUAAGGUCUCCUCCCACUCUACUCUUAAGAAAGCUUCAGUAGAAGCACCUGAAGAAAACUCCAGCAGGAAGCCCUCAGAUAAAGAAACUUCUGAAUGAAGACACCUAGGCUAGGAAUGCAAAUAUGUUUAAGAGCAUGGGCCAUUAGGGGAAUCUGAGUUCCAGAAUGCAAUUCUCUUUAAAGAUUGCAAUGCACUGGGUAUGCCCCAAGUCUGGGGAGGGCAACUUUCCUCGGAGGGGUUUGCCAGAUAAAGCCUUUGUCAUUGCCUGUGGUUGGGCCUGAAAUAUCAAACAUAGAUUUUUGGCCAGGACUCCUCAGCAGGAUCUAGUCAGGGCCUUCACAAAGUACAUUCAGAAUGACAAUUGACCCACCAGAAAGCCAUCAUGCCACCACUUGAUAUUUUAAAUGAAAAGACCCACCAACAUAUCUGAUAUCCAUAUCUGAUACCCAGUAGAAUUGGAAUGCUGCUAUCACCACUGUCACUAUUGUCACUACCACACCUGCCUCUAGAAACCCAGCAAUCUGGAGGAUGGACCCUGGAUAAUGUUGCAGGCAAACCUCAUUUCUCUACAACUGUGCUUUCCACCAACAGUCGAUUAAAGGAAGACGAAGAUCGAGUGUGUGUGGAUGAUACAGCAAAUAAACCUUCUUCUAGUUCUUAAAGAUUAUGGUUUUCAGUGUUUAGUGAGCAUCCGUGUUCAUCUUUAAAGGAUAGAAAAAUGCAGGAGGCAUCUUGUAUCCAUGAAGAUACUAAAACACGGAUUUCCUCAGGAAAUUGAUCACUCAAGCAUCCAUAAUCUUAGUAGACUGCCCUUAUAGUCGUAUUGCAGAAUGUGUGAUCUGCCAUCUACUGAGGGCUCAUUUUUCCCUCUCCUCUCUCAUCCAAGAUUGGUGAUAGUUUCAAAUUUUUCUCCCACUAUUAUGUAGAAUAAUUUCCAAACUUGACACUCAAUUGAAUCAUGGUGUCCAGGAAAAUAGAUAAAAUAAAUAUGACUUCAUAUACCAGAAGUCAUAUUCCUUUGAAUACAAUCAGGGCCAUAAAUGGCACUUGCUUCUAUAACACAAAGUGCUAUUAUAAUUAUAUACAUGAUUUUUUAAAUAAUUAAGUAACUUGGAACCAGUUUCUAUUGCAAUAAUUAUAAGAAACAAAGACCUCCAACUGAAUGAACCCCUCUGAAAUAUUUUAAUAAACUCUGAGGAGUACUAUUUGUCAAGCAAAGAAAUACUGAAUUAAGGUAAAUGCCAGCUUAGGAUGAAAAGAACAGCAACAGUGCCUACCUUCAUUACCUCAGCCUCUCCCUGGCUAAGAUAAUCACUUAAUCUUUUAUGCCUUUGCUAAAACCUCAUUAGUAAAAAGGAGACCUGCCUACUAAGCAUAAGGUUAAGGCUUUAAUGGACUUUAGAAAUCAUUUACUUUUAUGACUCAAAGCACUGAAGUGCAAAUUCUUUUUAUUUGAAUAUUUGAGGGCAUUAAAUGAGCAUUUUUAAUGGAUUUCAAUUGUCAGGAUAAAAUAAAAUUUCUCAAGGGGAAUCUGAAUUUUAACAAACAUUAAAAUCAAAGAAGUAAAAAGAUGAAUAAAUGGAGAAAAAGUUUCCUUGGCCAUGGUGACUGAGUCAAGGACAGACUCAUAAUCUAAGGCAAAGCAAUAAGUCAUCAGGAGACUCAAUACCUGCGUGUCUCUCAACCAUUGGAAAAAGUGAAUAUUCUUUGUAUCUGGAUGUGAAUGAGAAAAUACACAACCCCAGGAGCUGCUAGAACCCAUCUUGAGUUUGAAUCCCAUGACCGAGACACCUCAUGCCUUCCAGAAGCUGAAGGUGAAAGCUCACUAAGAUUAAACAACUGGGAAAUGUUAAAUGAAAAAGUAUCACAGCUGAGACAAAGCUCCUCAGCCUCAGCAUGUUUGUCAGUGUGCCCAACUGAUGUAGUUUGGCUCUGUGCCCCCAUCCAAUUCUCAUCUUGAAUUGUAAUCCUUAUAAUCUCCACAUGUCAAGGGAGGGACGUGGUGGGAGGUGAUUGGAUCAUGGGGGACAUUUCCCUCAUGCUGUUCUCAUGAUAGUGAGUGAGUUGUCAUGAGUUUUGAUGGUUUCAUGUGUUUGACAGUUCCUCCUUCACACACUCUCUCUCUUCUGCCACCUUAUGAAGAAGGUGCCUGCUUCCCCUUCACAUUCCAUCAUGAUUCUAAGUUUCCUGAGCUCCCCCCCAGCCAUGUGGAACUGUGAGCCAACUGAACUUCUUUCCUUUAUAAAUUACCCAGUCUCAGGCAUUUAUAAUAGUGUGU